rnacentral:rRNA from 1 species
AUGAACGCUAGCGGGAGGCCUAACACAUGCAAGCCGAGCGGUAUUGUUUCUUCGGAAAUGAGAGAGCGGCGUACGGGUGCGUAACACGUGUGCAACCUGCCUUUAUCUGGGGGAUAGCCUUUCGAAAGGAAGAUUAAUACUCCAUAAUAUAUUGAACGGCAUCGUUUAAUAUUGAAAGCUCCGGCGGAUAGAGAUGGGCACGCGCAAGAUUAGCUAGUUGGUGAGGUAACGGCUCACCAAGGCGAUGAUCUUUAGGGGGCCUGAGAGGGUGAUCCCCCACACUGGUACUGAGACACGGACCAGACUCCUACGGGAGGCAGCAGUGAGGAAUAUUGGUCAAUGGGUGCAAGCCUGAACCAGCCAUCCCGCGUGAAGGACGACUGCCCUAUGGGUUGUAAACUUCUUUUGUAUAGGGAUAAACCUACCCUCGUGAGGGUAGCUGAAGGUACUAUACGAAUAAGCACCGGCUAACUCCGUG